UGAAACUCUCAAAUAAAGGUAGCUUUGUAGCUGUCUCUGUUUGGAUUUGGACUUUGCUGCAUUAGUGUGGCUAGUCUUAAAUGCAUUAGCUGGUCCUCAUUGAGGUUUGGUUCCACUCGGCGUGAUAAUUAUCUAACGUUGAGGACAGUCUCAGGACUGGCCAUGGCUCUCUCUGGAUUGCUUCUAAAUUGUCUUCAGGACAAUCACUUAAU
rnacentral:misc_RNA from 1 species